rnacentral:rRNA from 1 species
GCGCGAAAACUGUGCAAUGCGCGAAAGCGCGACACGGGAAACCUGAGUGCCUUGACAAUGUCAAGGCUUUUCUUAAGCCUAAAAAGCUUAAGGAAUAAGAGCUGGGCAAGACGGGUGCCAGCCGCCGCGGUAACACCCGCAGCUCGAGUGGUGGUCACUUUUAUUGAGCCUAAAGCGUUUGUAGCCGGUUUUGCAAAUCUUCAGAUAAAUUCCUCUGCUUAACAGAUGAUCUUCUGAAGAGACUGCGAGACUUGGGACCGGGUGAGGUUGAAGGUACUUCCGGGGUAGGGGUAAAAUCCUGUAAUCCUGGAAGGACGACCGGUGGCGAAGGCGUUCAACUAGAACGGAUCCGACGGUGAGGAACGAGGGCUAGGGGAGCAAACCGG